CUUAGGUGCCAAAAAAAACAUUUCAAAGAGCUAUUGAAGAAUGAGACCGACAUCCAUGAUUACAAAUCCUACCAUGGCAUUACCCUAUCCAAAAACCCAAACUGCAGUUUCCCAGUUCACGCCAAACACCCGAUAAUGUUCACUCCCCAAAAGCACCACUACCCCAUCUGAGACAAACAUAGGAGUUUUAAUGCCGGAGAAGUCACCAUGCCGACAAUGUCUGAUAUUAUUGGCUCAUCAAGGGCACAAAACCUUGACCUUCAGCUCCAAUUGCUAGGACCCCUUUUCAGGAACACAGCCAAGAGUCGAGAAACCAAGCGAGAGCUAGGAAGGGCUGAGGGGCUGAUAAGGGUCUGGUUGGGAGGCAGAAUUCUUCACUUAGACUCAAUCAGAUUGAGGAGAGAGACUCUGGGUAUGGAGAAGUCCAUCUUUGGUAUUGGUUUGUUUAUUGGAGCUAUUGCUUUUCGAUAUGGCUACGAUUGUCGCUGCAGGACUGCUGAGUUGCUUGCCAUCAAUGACUCUGAUUUUUACCAUUCGAAGCUUGUUAGGUUCUAUAAGAGAAUUGGGUUCAAGACUGUGCAUGAAGUAACUGGUUCAACAAUUGGAGACAUUCCCCACAUGUUAAUGUGGGGAGGAGUUGGGACUCGAAUGGAUGCCAAUGUUGAAGAGCUUUUGAUAAAAUGGUGUACCAGGUUCAAGUCUUAACUCUUAGUUCUGCUCAAAAAAUUGUUAUCACUUGGUGAUAUCGGUCUCUCUUGGUGAGGAGCUGUUCCCCGGAAUGCUAAUGCCUACUAUUUAGCACCUAUGUUGAUAUUUAGAGAUGCUGGUAGCAAGGCCAAAUAUGGGAUUGGGGAAUUCAAACGCAGCGCUGAGGGCCAAGUGGUGAAGAAGGAGCCAACCACUAAGCAAUGAUGGGCUUUGUCACACUGAUGCCUGCAUCAUAUGCAGCAAACUGGCUGGAGGAAGUCUUGUAUGUUGCUUUCAUGCCAAUGGCAAUGCUUGAAAUAUUAAGUGUUGCCGAAAGAUUAGCUGAAGGGAGCUGGUUUAAAACAACAGAUAUGGUCACAGCAGAAUGCUUAUGGAAACCCAGGUAUUGAAUCUUCAGCUGAAAUAGAAGGUGUGAAGGAAAGGUUAGCAACAAAAUAAGUUCUUACUACAAGUCUACAAUGGACCAGAACAAAGGUGUCCAAAGGUUUCAUAGAAGUAUCAUGUGGCAACCGUAAUAUAUCUAUCAAAAGACUCCGAUAUGGCAACCUCAUACACAGCUAACAACUAAAGAGUUUCGUACCAUGCCGGAUUUGUAAUUUGCCAAUUUUGCUGAAGCCGCUAUCUUUGUUGAGGGGAAGAUGUUUCUGCUGAAAUUGAGGGUUGCUGAAAUCUGGCAUAAAAAAACAAAUGAAAAAAAUAAAAGGAUAGAAAGAUAAGAUGCUUUAGCUCAGGAAUGAGAGAGCAUCACUGAUAACUUGCGACAAACAGCGUAGCAUUGGAGACUCACCCUCGAGUUUCUAUCGACUUCGAGACCAAUGGUAGCAUUCCCGUAUUUUCCUGCCACAGCUACGGGUGAAAUUCUUCCAUGGUCUGAAUAGGUUGAAGUAAUGACCUGAAGACAUUCAGAAGAAAUCCAAACUUCCUCGGUAAUUUUACAACAGGUACACAUGGCUGUUGAAAAUUCGGAAUGGCAUCGACGACUUAUGUUUUUAGUGUUACUAUGCUAAUGGCCGAGUGAUAUUCAUUUAUUUUACCAUCUGAUACAAUCUGGUUCCAUACUUCCAUCAAACUGGAUUGUUGUAUUCCAAGUUUCAUGGAUUUCUGUGUUUGUUUGUUCUAGAAGAACUAUUGUAAUUGUUUAAUAGCCAUAAAUCCUUCUACUAUCAUCUAGAGUGAGUAUUUGUCAAUUCUCUUCUGCAUAAGAAUUGAUAUAGCACUGAAUAUGUGUCACACACAUGAGUUUCUGUUACUGGUUUUCUGUUGGAAGAUGGUUGAAUUUCUGAGUUUUUUCUCUACUGUACCUACUAUUUACUGAUACGGCGAGUUCGGGUUAUGAAACAGUAAGUGUUGUGGUGUCAUUUUGGUUCAGUGCUGCCAUUUGAGCACUUGAUCACGUGGCAAAUUAGUCUUGAUCGAGUUUAAAAGUUCGUUAAUAGUUAGAUUGUGCUUAAGCUGGUUCUUAGUGAACCUUUCACAAUCAUAUAGCAUGAUAAUCGAGCUGGAGAAUGAAGGGCGCUGAAAAAAAUAUGAAGUGCUGGGGUUAUGAAAAGAUUUCCUCUGUUGCUUUGGAGACUUCAUAUCUCAUGGUUGGAAUUCCAACACACGCAUGAACUGGACUGAAAGCAUGCCUCAUGUUCUUGUUGUUAUGUGCUUAUGUGAAUUAAAAUAGCAUCACAGGCAAUCAUCUCUACAUACCAUUCCAUCAUUCCUUCGAGUUGAGAUGGUGAUCCUCCUUGCGCUGGAAUACCCUGUUGUAAGCAAGGCUGCAUUCACAAGAACAAGAGUUGCAGAGACAACAAAAGUAUAGCUACCGUGAAAGUUUGAAGGAUUGAGUGGAAAACCAUUUGCAAGAAAUCAGAAACAGAAAUCAUAUAAUGCACAGCAUGGAUCAAAGAUUCUGAAAGAUCGAAAAAAAAGAGAGAAGAAAGUGAUGGUGAUGAAUGAUGAGUAUUGAAGAUGAUUACCUUUGGA